rnacentral:lncRNA from 1 species
AUUCCUGGAGAGGAAAGAGAGGCUUCUUAGAGAAGGCAGCCUCUAAGCUGGACCAUGUACAUUGCUAAGAAUAUUUUGGCCAAUAGGAUACUGCUUUUUAAGGAUUUCCCCCAUGGACAGUCCAUCUUGCAAAUGACUCUUCUGAUAUUGACUUUAAAAAUAAAAUUGUUAUCCUGAGCCUCUUUUGGAAACAUAAAAAACAAAGUGCAAAGAGAUCACUGCCGUUCUCAGAUUCUGUGAUUUGCCCAUACCAAGAGUCAGAAGGUCUCCAGAGCCAUUGGCACUGAGAUCUGAACAUAAGCUAUGGUUUCUGAGCAGGUAGGAGAAAAUAAAACUCCAGUAUUUUGUCAAUAAGUGCCUUAACUCGGUAUUGCUAAGCUUAUUAUUUCCAAUUCCCUAUUCUUUUCUUACAUCAAAAGUUAAAAGAGUAGGGAUUCUCUACUUUGUCCCACUAAAGACAAUAGAGUAGAUAAUAGGAUGGCAUUACAGCAGUGCAGAUUUAUAGUAGACAUUGGCAAGAACUUUGAGAUAGGAAAGAAGGGAUUAAAAUUGGACUGGAUAGCCAGAGCUAGCCUGAGAUUCUUUUUCAGACAUCUUCAAGAAUGGGAGAGGCUACUGUCUACCUAACACAGGUGCCUCAUAAGAUUACCUUGUAAGAUUUCUUCCAGAUCCAAGAUUCUCCAGAGACAAGGCUGAGAAACAGUUGUCAUGCUUAACUUCAGAAGCUGCUGAGCGUGGCCAGGGUCAGAAGCGGUCCCUUCAGAGGGACCUAUGUUUUGUUUCUGCUGCCAUUUGGUAAAGGGAGUCACCAGACUGGGAGAAUCGUUUGACAAGUGAGGUCAGGGAAAUGGCAAUUUUUGAUCCCAGGUGGCGAGAAAGCCUCCCAGUGAAGGUAAACAGAAGUGGAGAUAGAUCAAGGGGUGAGGGGUCAGUCCAUUAGAAGGCUGACAAGGCCAGCUGUCUUCUGGAGUGUCUGGAGGGAGGGAUGCUGAUGUGAUUGACCUCAGUCUUGGGAUGGGAGCAGGAGCGGGGGAAAGGACGUGAGUAGCAGGAUGGAGGAAGGAGACCACGGCAAGAGUGAGAAAGGGGCAUCUCUAGCCCAAUUUCUGCACAUGGAUACUGCUAGCUUUGGGCAGUUUAGCCUUGUGCUGCAGUUGUGCCAAGUGGAGUUGAGAGGUUGGCUAAAAAAAAAAAACCCAAAAAACCUCUUACUCAUUUGCAUGUGGUAUUUGCAUCUCAUUUGCAUAUAUUCACUUAAUGUCAGAUGUGCACAAUUUUCCAGCUUCUGCUUUUUCGCCUCCCCAACUUCCCACCUUGUGCCUUCAUCUUCCUUUCUCAACACCUCUUCCUCACCCCAUGAGUAUUUUCUCCUUAUUGUGUUCUCUUCUUCCUACAAAGUAGUAUGAAGAGCACAGCUUUGCUUCCGGGUAGAACUGCACUUUUGUCCAGGCUCCUCCAUGUAUCUGUCUUUUGGUCCUCAACAAACCUGUGGUCUCUCAUAUGCUCAUCUGUAAAAUGGGAACAAUAAUAUCUAUGUCUCAGAGUUGUUGUAAAGAAUAAACUAAAUAAAAUUAGCAUAAAGCACCUGGCCCUGCAGUAGGAACUUGACAAGUUGUGCCAGUUCUGGUCCCAGCUCUCUCUUCAUGCCUUCUAUAUCAAUUUAGGGAAACUGCGGCGCUGGAGUUGGUGUUUUCCUUGGAACUGAUGGAUAAGCAAGUUGAUUCUUUAAAUCGUCAUCUUUCUUGGUCAUGUGUCCAAGCUGCAUUUACAACCAGGGGAAGGGCAGGAGAAACAGUGUGAACAACAGUGUUCCUUUUGGACAUCUUCCAGUGUCUUCUAACUGAGGGCUUUUCUCAUUCCUCUUCCCCAGUGUCUGAAGCCUGAGGAUGCCCUGGUUCCUAAUCCCAGGGCAGGGCAGACUGCUUUCUCUGUAGCCUCCCAGCUUCACAGCAGCCUGAUCUCCAAAGCCUGGGGCACAUCCCCAAAUCCCUGGCUCCACCGCUGUCCCUGAUGAAGAUGCCUGGGUCAGCUUCCAAGAACCUCUUGCUUCUCUAUCCAAACAGCAUCCUGGCAUCUCACCAGGCACUGGCUUCAGAGUUUGUAUUUUGGGAGAUGUAUAGCAAGGAGAAAAUCGUUAAAUCUCCACUCUGCAUCCUGAAAAGUAACUUCUGUGAAACUCUCCUUCCAUCUCCUCAUCAAUUUCAGUCAGCUGUUUUUGUUUUCUCUUUUUCUCUGAAGCAAGGGCAAGGAGUUGUAUUGUAAAAUGAUAGUAGCUGAUGCUAGAGCAGCAUUUACUAUGUGCCACUUACUGUUCUAAGCACUCUAUGUAUAUGAUUUCAUUUAAUUCUCAUGACAGUCUUAUGAAGUAGAUAUCCCCAUUUUACAGAUGAGACUAAGAAGUUUAAAAACUUGUCCAAGGUUUUACAGCUAGGAAGGACGGAGACAGAAUUUUAAUCUAGCCAGUCAGCUCCAAAAUCGAUUUUCUUAACCACUUGUCACAGUGGAUUAACACAGGGAAGAUGUGUCUGGAAUGAAAAGUAAUGAAGGUUUCCAAGUUUGGGAUAAGAAAUAACAGAGUCAUGUUGUAGUAAGCGGGAUUAGGUGGGACAUCAGGUAGAACUUUCUACUUAUAAGAAUUGAUAGCAGGGCUAGUAGCAUCGUAUGAUACCCUGGUAGCAAAUGGUGGCUCUCUUAGAGUCUGCAAAAACCACAUGUUCCUCUGUGUGGAGGAAAGGCGAUAUCUAUAGGUGAGGAGCUGGGACUGGGAAGAGGAUUAAAGACUUCUGGAAAGUGAUCAGAGAAUCGAUCCUCAAUCAAUAUUUGGUGAGUAUUAUGAAUAGGGUACUUAAAUAGGAAUUUGCUGAGAUUUUUUUCUGGGCAAGGCCUUAUGCCAGACACCAAGGAAGGAUGAGCCAGGUCACCUCCUUGGGAUCUUUCCAGGUUCAGAAGACCUUAAAGCCUCAUAGUAUGGGCAGGGGGAGGGAAGAUUGAUGGCCUCUACUUUUCCUUCUUGCUUCUGCUAUGUGUGGUCCAGAUCUCAGUCUAUGCCUUCUCAGGUCCAGGAGCCCUUGCCCCUGGACUGGGACAGCCCCACAAUCUCUGGACUCAAUCCAGACUUGGUUCCAGGCCUCCUUCCCAAGUAGGCUUGAGUAGAACAACGUCCCUUAUCAGCAGGUCUGUGAGGCUGUCUUCCUCAUUUCCCUCUAAAGGCUCAUUUGAACCUUAUCUACCCAGUUUUUAAGAGGGUUUAGUUUCAGUUCUUUUUGACCUAUCAUCUGGUCAUCAAUUUAUAGGAGAGUCAUUUCGUCACUUAGUUAUUGGUUCAUUUAUUCUCCAAACAGUUAUUAAUAGUCUCAUAUAUGACAAACCCUGUGCUUAAGCCCAGGGAUGUAGAGAUCAAAGAGUUCUGUCUGUUCUGCUCUCAAGGGUCCACUGUCUAGUGGCAGAGACAGACAACUUCAGAACAGGUUGUACUAUGUCCCCCAAAUCAUACUGUCUUAGAGGGACAAUCUAGAUAAUCUGUCUCCUGAUCAGGGCCCCCUACUGAUCCUGUAUUUUUUAGUGUGGCUACAUUUGCCAUCCAUGGUACCAAUUAAUUAAUUAAUUGCUUUUUAUUUUAUAUUCUGGGAGUUUUGGUGUUUUGCAGGGGAAAUGCAAAUGUAUGCAAAUCAUCACACAAAUUUAUGCAAAGACAACAUGGAAAUGUGUCCCAAGAUUUCCUGGGAAAAAAAAAUCUGGAGGCCUCAGUCAGUCCCUCAGCAGGCUGCCUGUUCCCAGGCCUGUCCUGUCUUCCCUUUUGUUUGGGUUCUUAAUCUGUGCUGGGUUCCCUGCCUGGCCACUCUGAGGUCAGUAAUGCAGGUGGGCAGGUGGCAGCCUGGCCAUCCAUUAUCCUGAAACCUCUCAGCUUCCCAAGCCACCAGAAAACUCCCUCACUCCCUAUAAUCGGCUUUCAUUUGAAACAAUCAAGAGAUUUCCUACCACUUUCCCUAUGACCAGGUUUCGGAAAACACCCAGAUGGUGAGUUUCAGGUUUGGAGCUUGACUUGGACAAAGGGACUUAAUAGAGGAGGUUGGCAGUGUCUGCUUGUGGUUAUUGAAAAAUCCAGACCAAUUCAGUGAGCAUCUUCUGUGUGCACAGCCUUGGUUCCCCAGAGAGAUGGGAGACAACCGCAAGGGCUGGGGAAGCGAGGGCUGGGAGGAUGGCAGAAACUCUGUGGCUCUGCAAGGUAAGGCUGCCCAGCAGGUGUCAUGGUGAUAAACAGCCUGUCUCCUGCUCUGGACAGGAAACCUCAUGGAAGCUGUGUGGUGGAAGGAGGGGCUGUAAGGACAGAGGCUGACAGAGAGGGCACGAGAAGGGGAUCAGCCUCAUCAACCUGCAGGGUGUCAUCAUUGGGUAGUCCACGGCUUUGCAGAGUCAGAGAGCAAGGGGAGCAGGGCAAAGCUUGGGCCUCCAUUGGAGAGGAAAUGACAGCAGGAGGAAAGGCUGACCUGAGGGAGGAGCUGGCUACCUGCUUCCAGAACCUCCUCUGGCCAGGAGAGCACUGUGUCCAGGGCUGCACUUAGGCGUAUGGUACACAGACACCAUCGAGUUGCCAAGUGUGGCCAGUCCCUCAUAAAACAUGGAAGCUGAAGGCUGCCUGAGAGAUUUGAUUUAGGCUGGAUGUAAAGAACUUCCGGAGGGUGGGCGUUGUGAGAUACCAGAACAGGUGACUAAGAGAGGAUGCAAAAUCUCCUUCCCUUGGAGAGUCGUUGAAACAUUUGAAAUCCAUUUGUUGUGUGGGAGAGGAGGCACAGUUCUGUCUGGAGGCAGAGGGAUGGACUAGAUGACUUCUGGGAGUUCACAGAGACUAAGGAUAGAUCUCCCCAAGUAGGUGUACAGCAUCAAUCUGCCUGCUCAUGUGCAGCCCUGUCCAAAGAUCCCUCGUUUGGUGUUUCUUGCUCUCCUUCCCUCCCUCCUUCUGAUGAGAGUCUCAACAGAUCACGGGUCAAGCCAUCCCCUCCAGGAUGAAAUGGAGCUCUGUUUCAUCGGGCCACUCAUGCCCUCUCCCUUCCCUUGUGGAUGCAGAGCUUCUCCACAUCUUUGGGGGAGCUCCCCUCCAGGCCAGCAGCGCUGGGCAGCCUCGUUGCCAUUCCGGCCAGAGCCUGGAGCUCAGCCCUCUGGAGGGGCACAGGGCAGCGUUCUGGCAAGCAAGCAUGUCAGAGCAGCUCUGGCGUUUCCCUAGAACAAUUCAAAUUGCUUUUUUUACACCUCACUGCACUAUGCCAACCCUGAUUCACAUUAUUUGUGCACUCGCUAAGUGUACAUUAUCUGAUCCGUCACCCUGUAAAACGCUGCAAGAAGAAUCCGUGGCUCCUGUCUGCUGCUGACUGUGGGUCAGGCACAGAAGUCUCUGUACAAAUUUUUUUGCAAAAUGGGACAGACGGAAUAAACCCAAAGCCACCUUCAACAAUAGCCCACCAUGGCUGUGAGCUGGGAGAGAAAGUCCAUGCCUCCUGCCCCAGGAACUCAGGUUCUCUUGGAAAAGACUGUUCAACCAGAAAGCUCCAGCACCUUUUCUUCCCAUGGCCUCCUUUCUUUGUCACAUUAUUUAACAGGAGGAGACAAGCAGGAGGGGUAACAAGUCUUUGAACCCAGCUAUGCAGAUUUCCUCUGACUGACGCUAAGGGUCUGGAGAGAGCAGGAGGCAAGAAGGAGGUGGGAUUGAGAGAGAGCAGGAGGGAUGAUACUCUGUCCUGUGAAUAUCUCAGCUUCUCUAGGGGUGAAUAGGGCUCCCUGUUCUGCUCUGCCCAAGGUACUCUGUAAAUUGAUCAAAGACCCUGGAAUCCUUCCAUUCUGGGUCAGCUGGGAGCUCUGCUAACUGGCAGCUCCCCAUACCAAACCCUAGAAAUAGCUUAUCUGUAGGAAGCCCAAGUUUUCUAAAGUUAUUAGAAAAUUGCUGGCUCUUACUUUUGACCAGAUAUCAUUCUGCCCUUCUGCUUCUCUCUUCUAUAAAUCUGGGUAAAUGGGACACUUUUGUUCUUAGAGAUCUCACUCUAUCCCAAAUGGCCACUGAAAUAUUGACAAUUCAUCCCAUUGAAGAUCAGGGGCUUAUUUCUAAAUGGGAACUGCCAGGAUCUUCUGCAGGUUGGAUGAAAGCCCCUGUCCAGAUUUGAAAGUGGAUCCCACGUUCUGCAGGGAGAGCUUCAGAUUCAUCCUCACAUUGAAGACAAAUGACUUUCCCUGCAAGCGUCCAGGUUUCCUGCACCAUCUUAGGUCUGUGUUUAAUUUGCUGCAUGUGUAUGGAGAACACACAGGGUACACGAGCCUAUCCUAGGGCCUGUGGAUUGGAGAAAGUGGAACAAGAAAAAGACCUGGUCCCUGCCCUGGGGUUGCUUAUGAUCUGGUUGGAUUGACAAAUAGCUCUCUUUCCCAGCUGUUCCUGAUUUGGUUCCAGCCUCAGGGCUCCUGAAGGGCAUUUUGCAGCAGUGAAGCCCAGGGGUCGCCCAGCUGAGAACCACAUUUCCUUUCUUUUGGCAGGAGCCGGCAGCUUCCACAUGGGAGCUCAAAUCUCAAUGAAAACAAGAAAUCUGAUGCCUCACUGACAACUCAUUUUCUCAACCUUCAUUCUAGGGAAAGGCGACUUUGUGUUCCAGCUGCCAUAUUGUAGCUGCAACCCCUGAUGCACCAUCAAUUAAAAACAGCAAUAAUUAUGCAUGGGAAAAAGCCACAGAUAAUAGGCUUCCAUUAGAUUAAGUAGUUAUAUGAAUAAAAAAAAUACAACCUAUACUUCGGCUAAUUAAACCCACUCACCAUCUGAUUAAGAUGUGUUGUGAGACCAUGGAAAACUACCAACCACUAACUGUAAGUAAUCCGGCACAGAUGGGAAUUAAUAGUACAUUCCCUGGUUUAGAGAUAAUGGAUCUCCAUAGAGGUUGAUCAGAAUCAUUAAUAAGCAUCGACAGGAUGGACAGUACAAAACAGCUGGUGCCUAAUGUUGGGGUGGAGCAGGCCAUGUUCUUAAUUCCACUCCACCUACUGAGAUGAGCCGGAAGACGGAUAGAUGUGCUGAGACGCCAUCAGAGCUGAGGUUCUACGGGAGUUCUGGACUUGCUGCCUGGGCUCGAGGGAGCUGAAAAGGAAUCGGGACCCAACCAAAGGGUGGGAGUUGGCCCCGCUGCUCGGCUUUGCAAGGAUCUACUCCAAGGGUAGCUAGAACCAAAGCUUCCGCUCUCCGGGAAGGCAGCCUGCCCGUUACCCAGAGAGGCUCUCUCCUAGGGGCGUGGCUUGGGUUACCAUGGGAACCAGGCCUGGUUGACAUAUCCCAGGGCUGCUGUUUUGGGGACUGAGAAUUCAGGGCUAGUCCCAGAAAUAACGCCUGGGAGUAGCAGCUGUGGGGAGAGAUACGAGCGUGUCCGCUGCGUGGGGAGUGCGGAGGGGAUCCGAGGGAGGUGGCCGGCCAGAGCGCCCUAGGACACAGUGUUCCCAAUGUCCGUUUAGAGCUACUCUCCAGCCUCCAGCUUCUGUCCUUAGGAGCAGCUGCGAGGAGAGCACCCGGGCCCUGCCUUCUAAUUACCACUAAUUAGGUAAAUGCGGAGACGCCUCUCUCUCCCUCCCCCGACCUACAAAGGCAACUGAGAGACACACAGAGAGGUCACACACAGCCGUUUCCAAAUGGAGACAGGCAAGGGUGAUGUGGCCUGAAUACCAAGCAGCCGCUGCCCAAGGGAAGGGGAGCGGGGACAGGGCAGGAGGCUUCUGAGCGUGUGGCCCCUAGCUAGGGAGGCACCGAGGCGGGAGAGGGAGCCCAGGCCACUUUCCCAGCCUGGGUUCCUGGCUCCCCCGCCUUGACUGUGCAGGGGUGUCUGGUUGAGGAGGGAAGUCCUAGAUCAGUCCCCAGUCCCAGUCCUCGGAGGGUUUGCUCUUUCUGGAAGUCCUUGGCUCAGGAUCCUUGGACUUGUCUGUGGGUUUGGUUCUUCUCCUGGUUGUCUGGAUGGGAGGGGAGGGGCCUAGGCUUGCUGGGGCUGUGUGUAGGGUCAAAGGCACUAUGGAUCCUAAUGGAGAACCUCAGGGCAAAACCAACAGUACUGCCAUACCCAUGGAUGUGGUGCAGGUUCGGUUCCAAACCAUAGCAAAGCAAAUAUAGCAAUAAAGCAAGUCACACAAGUUUUUUGGUUUCCCAGUGUGUAUAAAAGUUAUGUUUGCACUAUAGUUGAUUAGGUGUGCAAUGGCAUUAUGUCUAAAAGAGCGUAUACCUUAAUUUUAAAAUAUUUUAUUGAUAAAAAUGCUAACACAGAGACAUGAAGUCAGCACGUGCUGUUGGAAAAUGGCACUGAUAGACCUGCUCAAUGCUGGGUUGCCACAAACAUUCAAUUUGUAAAAAAAUCUAACCUGCGGAGCAUAAUAAAGCAAAGUGCCAUAAAA